UACGUAGGGUGCGAGCGUUGUCCGGAAUUAUUGGGCGUAAAGGGCUCGUAGGCGGUUUGUCGCGUCGGGAGUGAAAUCCACUGGCUUAACUGGUGGCUUGCUUUCGAUACGGGCAGACUAGAGUACUGCAGGGGAGACUGGAAUUCCUGGUGUAGCGGUGGAAUGCGCAGAUAUCAGGAGGAACACCGGUGGCGAAGGCGGCUCACUGGUCCGGUACUGACGCUGAGGUGCGAAAGCGUGGGGAGCAAACAGG
rnacentral:rRNA from 1 species